rnacentral:rRNA from 1 species
CACGUAAGUGGCAAGCGUUGUUCGGAUUCAUUGGGCGUAAAGGGCGUGUAGGCGUCUUGGCAAGCUUGGUGUGAAAUAUUCAUGCUUAACAUGAAAAACGCGCUGAGAACUGUCAGGAUAAGAGUGGUUGAGGGGGAGCUAGAAUUCCUAGUGUAGGGGUGAAAUCUGUAGAUAUUAGGAAGAAUACCGGUGGCGAAGGCGAGCUCCUGGCAACAAACUGACGCUGAGGCGCGAAAGCGUGGGUAGCAAACAGGAUUAGAUA